UCCGGUUGAUCCCGCCGGAGGCCACUGCUAUGGGGGUCCGACUAAGCCAUGCGAGUCAUGGGGCGCCUUGCGCGCACCGGCGGACGGCUCAGUAACACGUCGGUAACCUACCCUCGGGAGGGGGAUAACCCCGGGAAACUGGGGCUAAUCCCCCAUAGGCCUGAGGUACUGGAAGGUCCUCAGGCCGAAAGGGUCUCUGACCGCCCGAGGAUGGGCCGGCGGCCGAUUAGGUAGUUGGUGGGGUAACGGCCCACCAAGCCGAAGAUCGGUACGGGCCAUGAGAGUGGGAGCCCGGAGAUGGACACUGAGACACGGGUCCAGGCCCUACGGGGCGCAGCAGGCGCGAAACCUCCGCAAUGCGGGCAACCGCGACGGGGGGACCCCCAGUGCCGUGGCAUCGCCACGGCUUUUCCGGAGUGUAAAAAGCUCCGGGAAUAAGGGCUGGGCAAGGCCGGUGGCAGCCGCCGCGGUAAUACCGGCGGCCCGAGUGGUGGCCGCUAUUAUUGGGCCUAAAGCGUCCGUAGCCGGGCCCGUAAGUCCCUGGCGAAAUCCCACGGCUCAACCGUGGGGCUUGCUGGGGAUACUGCGGGCCUUGGGACCGGGAGAGGCCGGGGGUACCCCUGGGGUAGGGGUGAAAUCCUAUAAUCCCAGGGGGACCGCCAGUGGCGAAGGCGCCCGGCUGGAACGGGUCCGACGGUGAGGGACGAAGGCCAGGGGAGCGAACCGGAUUAGAUACCCGGGUAGUCCUGGCUGUAAAGGAUGCGGGCUAGGUGUCGGACGAGCUUCGAGCUCGUCCGGUGCCGAAGGGAAGCCGUUAAGCCCGCCGCCUGGGGAGUACGGCCGCAAGGCUGAAACUUAAAGGAAUUGGCGGGGGAGCACUACAAGGGGUGGAGC
rnacentral:rRNA from 1 species